rnacentral:rRNA from 1 species
UACGUAGGUGGCAAGCGUUGUCCGGAUUUACUGGGCGUAAAGGGCUCGUAGGUGGCCAACUAAGUCAGACGUGAAAUCCCUCGGCUUAACCGGGGAACUGCGUCUGAUACUGGAUGGCUUGAGUUCGGGAGAGGGAUGCGGAAUUCCAGGUGUAGCGGUGAAAUGCGUAGAUAUCUGGAGGAACACCGGUGGCGAAGGCGGGUCUCUGGGCAACAACUGACGCUGAGGCGCGAAAGCGUGGGGAGCAAACGGG